rnacentral:lncRNA from 1 species
AUGGUAGAAGCAGAUAGGCCUGGCAAGCCUUUCAUUGGUGGCCUCCGUUUAGACACCAGUUAAAGACACUUAAAGCAGUAUUUGGGAAUUAUGGUCUCAUAUUGGAAGUUCUUCUGAUAAAUGAUUGGGAAACCAGCAAGUUCAGAUGCUUUGCAUUUAUUUUGAGAAAGCUGCAGAUGCUAAAAAUGUUGUCAAAGAUAUGAAUGGAAAUGUCCCAUGUCAUGUGGAUGAGAGAAUUCUGGAGGUCCUCCACGCAGAGUCAGUCUCUUCCUGGAGAAAUGACCAUGUGUCAUUAAGAGAUGAGGGUUAUGCAACUAAGGAUAG